ACAAACUUUUGUACCUAACCCGUGCAUACUGGAUUGGAAAAUGCGAAGACGGGACUGUGGGCCUGGCCCUCCUGUACAAUCAGUCCCCGGGGCAGUCCGUCUGCAGAGACUGCGAGUCCUGCGUGAGAGAUAGUCCUUGUGAUAGUGAUCAGCGUUUCAUCUGCGAGAGGCCGGCACCUUUGUUCGCGGAUAUUCCUGAAGAAAUCCAUGGUCUCUGUCAACAGCCAGUGGAGGCGACAUGAUUCAGCUGGGUGGCCUCACCGACGCCUGUAGUCGGGGUGACUGGUGAAGAACAGCGUGGCAAGUGUCCUGUCCACCCUAUCGGAUGUUUUCCACCGGAAUCGUUAUUUCAAUUAUUAUCUGAAGCUAAUAACC